UUAUUAAUAGUUAAACAGAUAACACUAAAAUGCAAUUUUAGAAUUGACUAACUUAAUCUUAAUAAA
rnacentral:tRNA from 1 species